UAUGUGUGUGUGUGUGUGUUAUGUAUGUAUAUUAUGAAUCUUUAUUCAGCACAACAAUUGUUUCAACCCAUCCUGCAGUUGUCCCUUAGGGGUAGGAUAUUAUGCAUCUGGUUGUGUUGCGUCAAUCAGUGCAGGCUGUGUCACUU